GGGCUACUGGAAGCCAUGGCAGGGGAUGGGGCUGGAUAAGCUUCAUGGUCCCUCCCAGCCCAAACCAUCACUGUGAGUCCAUGGCAAAUGGGAUGGGCCAGGCUCAGCUGCCUGCAGGGAGCCCAAGGCAGCAGCCCAUGAGAGGAAAAGCCCUGGUUUAACCAGUGUCUUCUCCUCUGUGCUUGGCCAGCAGCCUGGCUGUGUCCCUGGUGCUCCUGCAGCACUGGAAGAUGAGUGAUUUCAGCGCACAGAGAAACACAUUUCCCCCCAGCUAGUUCAGAGCUGGGCUGAGCCUGUGGAGCGCUGAGAAAAGCGAUCCUGCUCCGGGAGCCUUUAAGGGAGGAAGCUGGGGGGCCAGGAAGGUCUUUUGGAAAACUGAUCCACUGAGCUGGCCUUUCACCUACAUCCCUGGGCUGCUUCUCUGAGCCUUGGGAAAGGUCUCCUGAGGUGCCCAGCUCCCUCCCAGGAGAAACAGCUCCAGGACCCUGUUUUGUGCACUUUGAGAUGCACUGUCUGGAGAGGGAAAUGGCUUUUUCAGGAAUAAUUAUCCAGGAUGAAUUUCCUAAAUGAAAAUACAAGGAGCCAAGAGAGAUUAAAUGCAGACCUGGCCACAGCAGAAGCUUAAAAGCCAGCAGAAAGAGCUGCUUGCUGGGCAAAGCACCUCCCUCGGACAGGGCUGUCCAGAGACCAGGACAGUAGCUCAUUCUUCCCACGCUGUUUUCUGCCCAAGGAACAGCCAAAAGGUCAGGAGUGGCUGGAGAGGGGCAGUGACCAGGCCCUCUGCUGAUCCCUGAGUUCUGCACAGAACCCGAAAACAUCUCUCUAGGAAACUCCCCCAACCUGCCAACUAACUCUCUUUCAAAGGUGCAUGAAACUGCAUUUCCUGCCUCCCACAGCUCCCCUGUCCCACAUGCCACGUGUCCUGCACAGCCAGGGAUGGAGAGCCAGCACCUCCCAUUUUCAACGUAAGGAACAGAAUCCCAGAAUGGUUUGGGUGGGAAAGAACCUCAGAGCCCAUCCAGUGCCACCCCUGCCAUGGGCAGGGACGCCUUCCACCAUCCCAGAUUGCUCCAGCCUCAAUGUCCAGCCUGGCCUUGGGCACUGCCAGGGAUCCAGGGGCAGCCCCAGCUGCUCUGGGCACCCUGUGCCAGCCCUGCCCAUCCUCACAGUCAAUAAUGCCCUCCCAACAUCUAACACCCCUAAAAUGCCCUGUUCUCCAAAGCCACAACACAAGAGCAGGUGCCUGGUGCUAUCUGAUGUCACUGAGGUGAAGGAGAGCAGUCUGUUUGCUCCCACAGCCAGGAAACCAGGUGUGCUUGGAAAACACACCACUGGCAUGUUGUUGCAGAGAUCAGCAGCUAAAAUACACCUCCUCCCAUCUUCCUACCACUGCCCCACGUGCAGGAUGAAGUGGUGUUAAGAUGUGUGUGUCUAUCCCAGUGACCUCCCUAACAAGGAACUUCCAGCUGUGGGAGAGGUUUAACACCAUCUCUUGCUGCUAUUUCACAUGUACAGGUGUGACUCAAAAUGAGCAAGGUUUGAAACCACCAUUAACACUCCCAGCUCAGAGAGAUGACCAGAAUCACAGAAUCAUGGAAUUCCUGAGCUUGCAGAAGACAUGAACGGCAGCGACGCUGAAACCAGCCAAGGAUGAUUCUGUGCCUGUGUGCCAGGGGCUGGGCUGCAGCAGAUUCAGGAGCACGUUACAGGUCAUGGUGGGGGUACAGCCUCCUCCAAGGUCAAGGAAUGCCAGUCUUGGAGGCAGAGGACAUUUCAGCACUGUGGCCCAGCGAGUUUGCCAGCAGCUUUGCUUGCGCACAGGGAUGGAGGGUGAGCAGAUCUGUGUCAACAGGCCACAACCCACCCUGGCACCGGCCUGGCACCUGCCCCUGCUUUCCAGCAAGGAAAUCAGGAAGAUCCAGCAGAUCAAGAAGGAACAACACAACCAAGAAAGGAUGUUUUGGCUGUUGCUGCUGUUGCCAUUUUUGCAACAUACAAAUGCCUGUUUUAGUGAAUCUGCCCAAGGCUUUGUUACUUCAAAUAAUUCACACUGAAGGAACAUCUCGUCUUCUUCCUGUGGUUCUCCGUUGGUGAUCCCUGAGCCUACAACAUCCACCUGCUGCUUGUCAGAGACCUGCUGGCUGAGAGCAGGGCUUUCCCCCGAGCCUCCAUCCUCACUGCUGCUGCACUGC